CGGUAAGGUGAUAUGAACCGCUAUACCCGACGAUACCCGAAUGGGGAAACCCAGUGCAAUUCGUUGCACUAUCAUUAACUGAAUCCAUAGGUUAAUGAGGCGAACCGGGGGAACUGAAACAUCUCAGUACCCCGAGGAAAAGAAAUCAACCGAGAUUCCCCCAGUAGCGGCGAGCGAACGGGGAAGAGCCCAGAACCUGAAUCAUCGGUUGCGUUAAUGGAAGCGUCUGGAAAGUCGCGCGAAACAGGGUGAUAGCCCCGUACAUGAAAACGCAGCCGGUGUGAGUUCGAUGAGUAGGGCGGGACACGUGUUAUCCUGUCUGAAGAUGGGGGGACCAUCCUCCAAGGCUAAAUACUCCUGGCUGACCGAUAGUGAACCAGUACCGUGAGGGAAAGGCGAAAAGAACCCCGGCGAGGGGAGUGAAAGAGAAC
rnacentral:rRNA from 1 species